rnacentral:rRNA from 1 species
AUACGGAGGGUGCAAGCGUUACUCGGAAUCACUGGGCGUAAAGCGCGCGCAGGCGGCCAUUUAAGUUGGAUGUGAAAGCCUACGGCUUAACCGUAGAACUGCAUCCAAAACUAUUUGGCUAGAGUGUGGGAGAGGAAGAUGGAAUUAGUUGUGUAGGGGUAAAAUCCGUAGAGAUAACUAGGAAUACCAAAAGCGAAGGCAAUCUUCUGGAACACUACUGACGCUGAGGCGCGAAAGCGUGGGGAGCAAACGGGAUUAGAAACCCUAGUAGUCC